rnacentral:rRNA from 1 species
GAUCCUGGCUCAGGAUGAACGCUAGCUACAGGCUUAACACAUGCAAGUCGGGGGGCAGCAUGAACUUAGCUUGCUAAGUUUGAUGGCGACCGGCGCACGGGUGAGUAACACGUAUCCAACCUUCCGUUUACUCAGGGAUAGCCUUUCGAAAGAAAGAUUAAUACCUGAUAGUAUGGUAAGAUUGCAUGAUAACACCAUUAAAGAUUUAUUGGUAAACGAUGGGGAUGCGUUCCAUUAGGUAGUAGGCGGGG